GCCCAGUGACCACAGUUCAACGGCCGCGGUAUCCUAACCGUGCGAAGGUAGCGUAAUCACUUGUUCUUUAAAUAAGGACUAGUAUGAAUGGCAUCACGAGGGUUAUACUGUCUCCUUUUUCUAAUCAGUGAAACUAAUCUCCCCGUGAAGAAGCGGGGAUAACCCUAUAAGACGAGAAGACCCUAUGGAGCUUUAAACUUUAUUACACUUGCUUAACUCACCCUUUAGUCCAGAUGUCAUCCAUUAAAAAUAGCAUUAUAAUAAUAAAUUUUAGGUUGGGGCGACCGCGGAGCACAAAAAAACCUCCGCAUUGAACUAAGCUUAAAGCCUUUAACAAAGAGCUACGACUCUAUGUAAUAACAUAUUAACACCCAUUGACCCAAUAUUUUGAUCAACGAACCAAGUUACCCUAGGGAUAACAGCGCAAUCCACUUUAAGAGCCCCUAUCGACAAGUGGGUUUACGACCUCGAUGUUGGAUCAGGGUAUCCCGGUGGUGCAGCCGCUACCAAUGGUUCGUUUGUUCAACGAUUAAAACCCUACGUGA
rnacentral:rRNA from 1 species